rnacentral:rRNA from 1 species
GAUGAACGCUAGCUACAGGCUUAACACAUGCAAGUCGGGGGGCAGCAUGAACAUAGCUUGCUAUGUUUGAUGGCGACCGGCGCACGGGUGCGUAACACGUAUCCAAUCUGCCCGUUACUCGGGGAUAGCCUUCUGAAAGGAAGAUUAAUACCCGAUGGCGUUCAUUAGCGGCAUCGCUUAUGAUUUAAAGAUUAAUCGGUAACGGAUGAGGAUGCGUACGAUUAGCUAGUUGGCGGGGUAACGGCCCACCAAGGCAACGAUCGUUAGGGGUUCUGAGAGGAAGGUCCCCCACACUGGAACUGAGACACGGUCCAGACUCCUACGGGAGGCAGCAGUGAGGAAUAUUGGUCAAUGGGCGAGAGCCUGAACCAGCCAAGUAGCGUGAAGGAUGACUGCCCUACGGGUUGUAAACUUCUUUUGUUUGGAAUAAAAGACGCUACGUGUAGCGUUGUGCAUGUACCUUACGAAUAAGCAUCGGCUAAUUCCGUGCCAGCAGCCGCAGUAAUAC